rnacentral:rRNA from 1 species
UGGGGAAUCUUCCACAAUGGACGAAAGUCUGAUGGAGCAACGCCGCGUGAGCGAUGAAGGAUUUCGGUCUGUAAAACUCUGUUGUUCAUGACGAACGUUCCCUAGGUGAAUAAUCUAGGGGAGUGACGGUAGUGAACGAGGAAGCCACGGCUAACUACGUGCCAGCAGCCGCGGUAAUACGUAGGUGGCAAGCGUUGUCCGGAAUUAUUGGGCGUAAAGAGCAUGUAGGCGGCUUUUUAAGUCGGCCGUGAAAAUGCGGGGCUUAACCCCGUAUUGCGGUCGAAACUGGAGGGCUUGAGUGCAGGAGAGGAAAGGGGAAGUCCCAGUGUAGCGGUGAAAUGCGUAGAUAUUGGGAGGAACACCAGUGGCGAAGGCGCCUUUCUGGACUGUGUCUGACGCUGAGAUGCGAAAGCCAGGGUAGCAAACG